AAGGACGUAAGAUAAACCCUUUCCGCCGGUGUAGGUCUGGCCCCACCACCCAAAAUACAUCAGCCAAAUAUCAAGCAUUAAAAUGGAGAUACUUAUGUGUGUCGGCAAUUGACGGAAAGUAGUAGCACUGCACUUGUAAGAGCAUUUCUUCUUUUGUACCAACUUUUUGAUUCUUGAGCACUCACACUGAAGUAAUUAAUUAAUGGUUUCAUAUUGGCUUUGGGAAGUAGGAUAAACAAAUGAAGGAGAAACUAAUGGAAAACAUAAGGCAGCGGAAACUUAGCGAUUUGCAAUUUUGCUAGUCAUUAACCAUGCGGCGGAUUUGCUUAAACUUUGCAAGAGAAUAUUGUGUUCCACCAUUUGAGUAGGUGUUCGGGUAUGGAAUUUCAAUUCCCGUCUCCCGAGUACAUACAUACAUACAUAACUAAUGUAUUGUUGUUCAUUUCCUUCAGUCAAUAAAGC
rnacentral:lncRNA from 1 species